GAUGAACGCUGGCUACAGGCUUAACACAUGCAAGUCGAGGGGAAACGACGGGGAAGCUUGCUUCCCCGGGCGUCGACCGGCGCACGGGUGAGUAACGCGUAUCCAACCUGCCUCUGACUGUGGGAUAACCCGUCGAAAGUCGGCCUAAUACCUCAUGGCAUCGUCUGCGGGCAUCCAACGACGAUUAAAGAUUUCAUCGGUCAGAGAUGGGGAUGCGUCUGAUUAGCUUGUUGGCGGGGUAACGGCCCACCAAGGCGACGAUCAGUAGGGGUUCUGAGAGGAAGGUCCCCCACAUUGGAACUGAGACACGGUCCAAACUCCUACGGGAGGCAGCAGUGAGGAAUAUUGGUCAAUGGGCGAGAGCCUGAACCAGCCAAGUAGCGUGCAGGAUGACGGCCCUAUGGGUUGUAAACUGCUUUUAUGCGGGGAUAAAGUGAGGGACGUGUCCUUCAUUGCAGGUACCGCAUGAAUAAGGACCGGCUAAUUCCGUG
rnacentral:rRNA from 1 species